rnacentral:rRNA from 1 species
GUCCCAGACUCCUACGGGAGGCAGCAGUGGGGAAUAUUGGACAAUGGGGGGAACCCUGAUCCAGCGACGCCGCGUGAGUGAAGAAGUAUCUCGGUAUGUAAAGCUCUAUCAGCAGGGAAGAAAGAAAUGACGGUACCUGACUAAGAAGCCCCGGCUAACUACGUGCCAGCAGCCGCGGUAAUACGUAGGGGGCAAGCGUUAUCCGGAUUUACUGGGUGUAAAGGGGGCGCAGACGGCAGCGCAAGCCAGGAGUGAAAGCCCGGGGCCCAACCCCGGGACUGCCCUUGGAACUGCUUGGCUGGAGUGCGGGAGGGGCGGGCGGAAUUCCUGGUGUAGCGGUGAAAUGCGUAGAUAUCAGGAGGAACACCGGCGGCGAAGGCGGCCUGCUGGACCGCGACUGACGUUGAGGCUCGAAAGUGUGGGGAGCAAACAGGAUUAGAUACCCUAGUA